rfam:Caenorhabditis remanei strain PB4641 contig0.48, whole genome shotgun sequence.
UAAACUUCAUUGGUCAGAGCAACACGCAGUCACAUAAGUUUCUGAAAUGUGUCACUGGUUUUCCUCUGACUAAUUGAAGAUAU